rnacentral:rRNA from 2 species
AGCAUAGCGAUUUGGGAUAAGUCCCUUGGAAGAGGGCAGCAUGGAGGGUGAUACUCCCGUCUCUGCUCAGGUUGUCUGUGUGUACGAUACGCUUUCUUUGAGUCGAGUUGUUUGGGAAUACAGCUCAAAGCAGGUGGUAAAUUCCAUCUAAAGCUAAAUAUUGGUGCGAGACCGAUAGCGAACAAGUACCGUGAGGGAAAGAUGAAAAGAACUUUGAAAAGAGAGUUAAAGAGUACCUGAAACUGUUGAAAGGGAACCGUAUCGUUUCUAGUGUGUAUCCUAUGCAUAUUUCAUUGGCGGUUGUAAAAUUGCUGGUGCCCUGUGUAUGGGUGUGACGUCAGAGUCAGUUUGAAUUGCGGGAGAUGGGUAGUGAGGAGGUGCGUCACUUUUUGUGAAAGUUACAGCUCGCUAUCUAGUAGCCGUGGUUGAGACUGAGGUGCC